AGCUUGAGUUCAUUUUCAUUAUCGCAUAAAUCUUUAGCCUUUGACUAAAGAUUUCCGUGGAGGGGAACUUUUUGCGAGUAAUCUGUAUUUUUGGAGGCUCUAAUCACAGCAGAGCU
ensembl:snRNA U5 U5 spliceosomal RNA